rnacentral:lncRNA from 1 species
AUAUUCCUGUGCAAUGCAAUUCUGUCUGUGAGACCCAUUGGUGACCUUCCCUGGCAAACCAAGAUGCAAUCAGUGUGGUGAAAUCUGUACACUUUUCUACGAUCCCAAGAUGAUUUUGACACCGUAUCCUGUUUCAAGGGAAGAGGUGAACCAGGAGAGUGCUAGACCGAAAGCUAAUCCCAGCAGCAUUCUUGCCAUCCUGAAUGGCAGCACAAUUGUUUCUCACGCAAUGCUAUCACAGACAAGGAAGAAGAGCAGAUCACUGGUACAGUGCUCCAUGGCAGCCUGGGGAAUCCAGAGAUGGAGAAAUAAAGGGAUAUGGAUCUCUAAUUCAGAGCAGAUUGAAAAAACAAUGUCGGAAAAAGGAUCUGUAUUUAUACUCAUAAUACAGAACACAAGGAUCACUUCAUUCAGCAGCUGGAGACACAGGGAACAUCCAUAUCCUAGAUUUAGAAAGCUGAGAAGGCAUCACAGCCCAUCUCCUCCUGCUAGCACAGGAUGA